rnacentral:rRNA from 1 species
AGGGGCAGCACAAGGAGCAAUCUGAGGUGGCGACCGGCGCACGGGUGAGUAACACGUAUGCAACCUGCCUGUAAGCGGGGAAUAACCCGUUGAAAGACGGACUAACACCGCAUAAUACUAAAUUACUGCAUGGUAAUUUAUUUAAACAUUUAUGGCUUACAGAUGGGCAUGCGCAUGAUUAGCUAGUUGGAGAGGUAACGGCUCCCCAAGGCAACGAUCAUUAGGGGUUCUGAGAGGAAGGUCCCCCACACUGGUACUGAGACACGGACCAGACUCCUACGGGAGGCAGCAGUGAGGAAUAUUGGUCAAUGGACGAGAGUCUGAACCAGCCAAGUCGCGUGCAGGAAGAAUGUCCUUAAUGGAUUGUAAACUGCUUUUGCAGGGGAAUAAAGUGCAUCACGUGUGAUGUUUUGUAUGUACUCUGCGAAUAAGGAUCGGCUAACUCCGUGCCAGCCGCAGC